UACGAGGGGUGCAAACGUUAUUCGGAAUCACUGGGCGUAAAGGGUGUGUAGACGGCAAUCCAAGUCAGUUAUUAAAUCUCUCGGCUUAACCGAGAAACUGUGACUGAAACUAUAUUGCUUGAGGAUGGAAGAGAGAAGUGGAAUUCUCGGAGUAGCGGUAAAAUGCGUAGAUCUCGAGAGGAACACUGAUGGCGAAGGCAGCUUCUUGGUCCAUUUCUGACGUUGAAACACGAAAGCGUGGGGAGCAAACAGG
rnacentral:rRNA from 1 species